rnacentral:rRNA from 1 species
GAGCUAAUUAUUAUAUAUUUGUAGAUAGUAAGGUGUUGCAUAACUUAAGAAAUAGUAAUUAGGGGUGAUAGGCUAAUCAACUUCAAUGAUAACUUGAUAAUCACUAAACGUAAAAGUACAAAAAACACUUUUAGAAUGAUAAGGUUUUAAAAGAUUAACAAUAUACUUAAAUUUUAAAAAUGCUCUGUUUAAUCACUAGUAUAUUUAUAAUAUAUAAUACAUUGAGUGUGGCUGUUUUUAAUAUUGAUUAAUAUUAAAAUGAUAAUAUAUAUAAAUAAUGUUGAUAUUAGUAAUAGUAAGUACACAACAUGAACUCGGCAAUAAGUCUUUUAACUGUUUAUCAAAAACAUAGCUACAUGUAUUUAUAUGUGGUAAUUUCUGCUCAAUGAAGUUUAAAUAGCCGCAGUACUCUGACUGUGCUAAGGUAGCGCAAUCAAUUGGCUUUUAAUUGAAGUCCUGUAUGAAAGAAAACAUAAGGGGCUACUUUAUUUUUUGUACUUAAUGAAUUUACUUAAAAAGUGCAAAUUCUUUUAUUUAAAUAAAAGACGAGAAGACCCUAGAAAUUUUAUAGACUAAGGCUUUUUGUUGGGGCAACAAAGUAGCAAUAUAAUCUACUAUAAAUACAUGACAUAUAUAUUUUGUAAGAUUAAAUUACUCUAGGGAUAACAGCAUAAUUUUAUGAAAGUUUGUGACCUCGAUGUUGGAUUAGGGUAUUAA